UACGUAGGGCGCAAGCGUUGUCCGGAAUUAUUGGGCGUAAAGAGCUCGUAGGCGGUCUGUCGCGUCUGCCGUGAAAACUCGAGGCUCAACCUCGAGCUGUCGGUGGAAACCGUAAGGCUAGAGUCCGGAAGAGGAGAGUGGAAUUCCUGGCGUAGCGGUGAAAUGCGCAGAUAUCAGGAAGAACACCCGUGGCGAAGGCGGCUCUCUGGGACGGUACUGACGCUGAGACGCGAAAGCGUGGGGAGCGAACAGG
rnacentral:rRNA from 1 species